AAGAAUAUCGGAGACGGAUGGGCAUGCGGCGCAUUAGCUAGUUGGCGGGGUAACGGCCCACCAAGGCGACGAUGCGUAGGGGUUCUGAGAGGAAGGUCCCCCACACUGGUACUGAGACACGGACCAGACUCCUACGGGAGGCAGCAGUGAGGAAUAUUGGUCAAUGGGCGAGAGCCUGAACCAGCCAAGUCGCGUGAGGGAGUACUGCCCUAUGGGUUGUAAACCUCUUUUGUCGGGGAGCAAAAGCCGGACGUGUCCGGCUGUGAGAGUACCCGAAGAAAAAGCAUCGGCUAACUCCGUGCCAGCAGCCGCGGUAAUACGGAGGAUGCGAGCGUUAUCCGGAUUUAUUGGGUUUAAAGGGUGCGCAGGCGGAUUUUUAAGUCAGCGGUCAAAUCGUGGGGCUCAACCCCAUCCAGCCGUUGAAACUGGGGAUCUAGAGUGUGCGAGAGGUAUGCGGAAUGCGUGGUGUAGCGGUGAAAUGCAUAGAUAUCACGCAGAACCCCGAUUGCGAAGGCAGCAUACCGGUGCACAACUGACGCUCAGGCACGAAAGCGUGGGUAUCGAACAGGAUUAGAUACCCUGGUAGUCCACGCAGUAAACGAUGAAUGCUACCUGUUUGGCCAGAUUGAAGGCUGA
rnacentral:rRNA from 1 species